UCUCUUGUAGCUUAGUGGUAGAGCAAUAGUGCGUAAAGUCAGAGACCCGGGUUCGACUCCCGGCGAGGGCG
rnacentral:tRNA from 1 species